UACAGAGGUCUCAAGCGUUGUUCGGAUUCAUUGGGCGUAAAGGGUGUGUAGGUGGCGCGCUAAGUCGGGUGUGAAAUUUCGGAGCUUAACUCCGAAACUGCAUUCGAUACUGGCGUGCUUGAGGACUGGAGAGGAGACUGGAAUUCAUGGUGUAGCAGUGAAAUGCGUAGGAGAUCAUGAGGAAGACCAGUGGCGAAGGCGGGUCUCUGGACAGUUCCUGACACUGAGACACGAAGGCCAGGGGAGCAAACGGG
rnacentral:rRNA from 1 species